GGAGCCCUAAAUAACAUAAAAUUUCAAGUCAUGCUUGAGCACAAUGAUUGUGUAAGAUCCCAUCAAAUGCUAUGUUUCUCUCUUCUGUUCUGUACCAUAUUUGUUCAACGCAUGAAUCUUGCCUGAAGGUGUCAGGGUGCCUAACCUUGUUAGCCAAGGAAUGUCAUUUCAGGUACUGGACCUGUCUCAGUCCCCUGGGUCAGUCCAGUAUCCAUCAGUCGGGGCCAAUGUACCAACACAUUUCGAGGAGGAAGAAGAAGAAGAGAAAGGAACAUAUGGCGGUGGAGGAAGAGCAAGACGAAGAGGAGGAAGGAGAAGAAAGAAGAAAAAGGAAGAAUAGGAGGCAGUGGAGGAAGGAGGAGGAGAAGAAAAGGAAGCUCCUCAUUUUUUAUCUGAUCCCAAGUUUGAUUGUGGAACUCUUAUAAGUAUGGCAUAAAACAAGAAAAUUGAAUGUUAGUGAUGUAUGACACAUGACAGAAAGGGGUAAAAGGAUAUUAUAGGAUUUAAUUCGGUUCAUGGUCAAUUUUCAAGGUCGCUGAAAUCUUUAAAUCAUAUUUGAUUUUUAUGAAAGGACAAAUAUAAACUAGGACUAGUAUAAAGGAAGAAGAAAUUUUAGAUGAUCCAUAUACAUACUCACUUUGACUUUGAGAAUCACUCAUAGGAUUAAAAACAAUGGUAACACACCAUUAUGAAGAAAUUUCUUCUAUUGAUCUAAACUCCAAUUGCUUCACCACUUCAUUUGCUUAUAACCUUUUACCCUUCAAAUAGAUCCUCAAUUACAAGCAGAAAAAAGAAAAACAAAAGAACUAAAAAAAGAGUUCACUUAAGAAGAUACUAUUCCAUGAGCCAAGGCUAAUCGAUCACCCACAUUUCAUUCUCAGAAGAACUAUUUUCAAAUUUGUUCAAAAUUCCUUUUUAUACAUAUUCUUUAUUGCUAUUAAUUUCCUUCUUUGGAUAGAAUCUUCAAUUGAGAUCAUUAUUCCUUUUCUUCCAUUUUCAUUUGGCUACUCUUUCUUCCCUUGAACAAUCGUAUAAUUGAAAAUACAUAUGAUGUUGCCAUGUAACAAAUUUUGACAUUUGAAAAAAAAAUAAAACAAAAUUAAAAUUAAUAUAAAACAAAAAUGGUUCCUACACCAAAUAGUUCAUGCUGUAUGGUAAUGAAACACCUCAUGUUUUAAUUAAAAAUACCUCUUUCCUUGCAGACUAAGCAAGCAUAAGAGGAAUGCCGGAGAAGCAACAAAUUAUUCAAACAACUCAUUUUGGACCUUUCCUUUUACAAAUAUCAAGCAUUGAAUGUAAGUUCUUCAUAAGGUAAAAGAUUUAUUACAGUUUCAUGUCAAUCAUUUCAAGUUGUAGCAUGGGACUUGGACUUGCAUUGUCACUCUAGGCCCCUAGAGACUCAAGUCAUGAAACUCUUAUUUUUCACUGGCAAAGAUGUUAAUUAUCCCAAUGGAGCUUUUUGUUGUGCUAAAGUUGUUCAACAUCAUGAAUCUGGAGUCAACAUAAUGAAGGCAUGAAAACUUUGAUUAUCUGAAACCAUGUUGACAGAGCCUCCAAUUAUGAGACAAAUUUAAAAGUAAAUGAAGUAGAGGAAAAUAGAAGAAAGAUAUAAAAAGAUAGAAUAAAUGAGAAAUGAGAAUUGGAGAAAACAAAAAAAUCCAGCAUGUCAUAAAUCAUCAUUAUUAACUCAUAAUUUAUCGGUCAUGAUUUCUCUUAAGACUCAUUGUAGACAAGUAUCCUAGUCUUAGAAUAAUUCCCAACAAAUCUAAAUGACCCUAAAACUUUACAAGAAUAUCUGGAACUUCAAAUCACUUCAAGAUACCAUAAAACUCUAUUUUAAUGUUUACAAUCCAGAUGCAGGACAUCAAAGUUUUGACUGGAUCAGGUGAUACAAACACUACCAUAGCUACUUGAACAAUGACAAGAUGGAACCUAAUGAAAAGGGAAGAGAUAAUAUAAAGACCCAUAGGCACUCUAUAAACUUAGUGAAGAGACUGAAUUGAACAAGAACUUAAUAUGACUCAAACGAAACAUGUUCAACACAAGACAAGGUCACAUAUCUACCAUGAAGAACCAAAAUUGAUUAUAUUGCACCAUAAACUACUUCUUCCUUAUUAUAGUGCAAUACAGAAGAAAGUUCGCCAAAUAAAAGUUCUGCCUGCAACUGAAGAGUCUUUGACUGGUGCAGUUAGCAGCUAUCAAAUGACAGACAUAAAGUAUCUAAAAGUUCCUUAGACUAUAAACUUAAUGAAGAGACUGAAUUGAACAAGAACUUAAUAUGACUCAAACGAAACAUGUUCAACACAAGACAAGGUCACAUAUCUACCAUGAAGAACCAAAAUUGAUUAUAUUGCACCAUAAACUACUUCUUCCUUAUUAUAGUGCAAUACAGAAGAAAGUUCACCAAAUAAAAGUUCUGCCUGCAACUGAAGAGCCUUUGACUGGUGCAGUCAGCAGCUAUCAAAUGACAUACAUAAAGUAUCUAAAAGUUCCUUAGACCAAGAUUUGACAAAAGGCAACUUUUGGCUAGAUAAAGCCAUCUACUUGCAAACAUUAACAAGCCAAGCUUGACUAACAGAUUCUAUUAGGCACAGAUCAACUUGUUUAUGGCAUAAACAGAGCUGUUCACAAACAGAUCAAUUUCAAAAACCUUCCACCAUACUAAGUGCUAAAAUCAACAGUCUUUUUAACAACCAUGCUAUGACAGAAAAAAUAACAAGAAGGUAUGCCCACUUUAUCAAUUAUGCUAGCCUAGAGCAUAGAACCACAAAUGAUCCAAUAAAGUGAGAAUAUUAUCAGGAUGAACAUUCAUGAGUACCUUACAAUGUCAAAGAACAACAUAUAGUGAUAACAGUUCACCAAAAGCAUCUUUACCAAUAGAUGCUGCUACAUUAAGGCCCAAACUCAUGCUGAUAUAAUCAUGCCUACAUAGUUCAGAAUGGCACUGUACCAUGGAGUCCAAUAGAAGCAUGGCAUAUUAUAAUUUAAAAUGAAGAGGAUAACAUGCCGUACACAGAACUAUAAUCACACUCAUAAAACUCAAUUUUGUCUCGACCAAUUCAUACCGGCCCAUAUAUACAGGUCUCAGCAUGAACCAGGAAACAUACCAGCCCUUUUUUGGGCAAUUGAAUCCCUUUUUUUGGCAUGACCUGCAGCAGUGCAACUUAUGGUUUAAACAUGGCAGGCAAUCGCACGCUGCCACCUGCCUGAACUGCAGGCCCACCCACCUGCCACCUUCUAAUCCACCUUCACCUCCUAUUCUUCUCCUUUUCCUCCAUUCCUCCUCUUCCUCUCUUCCCUCCCGCUCCCCCUCCUCCCCUUUUCUUGGUACAACAGGCAGCACCAACUUACAAUAUACCAUGUGUUAAUAUGCCAACAUUGGCCAGAACAAUACUGGUCCGGUCAUAAAUUAGUAGGGAUCUGGUAACAAAACCAAAGUUACCCCACAAAAAUACCAAAAAGUAAUGCAAAGGACUUAUUCAUGUCAUA
rnacentral:lncRNA from 1 species